AGAGUUUGAUCCUGGCUCAGAGCGAACGUUAGCGGCGGGCUUAACACAUGCAAGUCGAACGAGAAUGAGGGGGCAACUCCUCUAGUAAAGUGGCGGACGGGUGCGUAACACGUGGGUAAUCUACCUUUCGGCGUGGGACAACAGACCUAACGGACUGCUAAUACCACAUACGUCGGCGGGGACUCCGGUCCCUGUCGGGAAAGAUGGCCUCUCCUUGGAAGCUGUCACCGGAAGAUGAACCCGCGGCCCAUCAGCUAGUUGGUGAGGUAACGGCUCACCAAGGCUAAGACGGGUAGCUGGUCUGAGAGGNNACGGGAGGCAGCAGUGGGGAAUAUUGGGCAAUGGGCGAAAGCCUGACCCAGCCACGCCGCGUGAGUGAUGAAGGCCUUCGGGUCGUAAAGCUCUGUGGGGAGAGACGAACAAGCACGGACCUAAUACGUCCGGGCCCUGACGGUACCUCCUUAGCAAGCACCGGCUAACCAUGUGCCAGCAGCCGCGGUAAUACAUGGGGUGCAAACGUUGCUCGGAAUCAUUGGGCGUAAAGCGCACGUAGGCGGCUAUCUAAGUCGGAUGUGAAAUCCCUCGGCUUAACUGAGGAAGUGCAUCCGAAACUGAAUAGCUUGAGUACGAAAGAGGGUCGCGGAAUUCCCGGUGUAGAGGUGAAAUUCGUAGAUAUCGGGAGGAACACCGGCGGCGAAGGCGGCGACCUGGUUCGAGACUGACGCUGAGGUGCGAAAGCGUGGGGAGCAAACANNAGAUACCCUGGUAGUCCACGCCGUAAACGAUGGAUGCUAGAUGUUUCUGGUAUUGACCCCGGAGGCGUCGUAGCUAACGCGUUAAGCAUCCCGCCUGGGGAGUACGGCCGCAAGGCUAAAACUCAAAGGAAUUGACGGGGAUCCGCACAAGCGGUGGAACAUGUGGUUUAAUUCGACACUACGCGAGGAACCUUACCU
rnacentral:rRNA from 1 species